CCAUAUGCUCUAGAGUGAAACGGAUUUUUCCGCCUAAAGAAAAGCUCGCGGCUGAUUAGCUUGUUGGUAAGGUAAUGGCUUACCAAGGCGACGAUCAGUAUCUGGUUUGAGAGGACGAUCAGACACACUGGAACUGAGACACGGUCCAGACUCCUACGGGAGGCAGCAGUGGGGAAUUUUCCGCAAUGGGCGAAAGCCUGACGGAGCAAUACCGCGUGAGGGAAGACGGCCUAUGGGUUGUAAACCUCUUUUUUCAGGGAGGAACAAAAUGACGUGUACCUGAAGAAUAAGCAUCGGCUAACUCCGUGCCAGCAGCCGCGGUAAGACGGAGGAUGCAAGUGUUAUCCGGAAUCACUGGGCGUAAAGCGUCUGUAGGUGGUUUGUUAAGUCAACUGUUAAAUCUUGAGGCUCAACUUCAAAUCAGCAGUCGAAACUAUCAGACUAGAGUAUAGUAGGGGUA
rnacentral:rRNA from 1 species